rnacentral:lncRNA from 1 species
GGGGCACUCACCGCUCCCGCCAUUAGCGACCUCCGCCGCUAGGUGAGUUCUCCCCUCCGGUAUCUCCCUCUCGUCCCUCUCCGCUCUCCCUCUCCGCUCUCUCCCUCUCCUCCCUCUCCUCUCCUGCCUCGGACCGAAUCUGUCCCCCUCCCGCCUCUCCUCUUCUCUGUCCGGUUCUCGUCAAUUUCGUGCUCCUCUUUUCCGUUUCUUUUUUUGUUAUAUCUGAGCACUUGCCCCACGUUAGUGAUGAUAUUUGAGCGCUUGCCCAUGCCAAGGAUAUUAUUUCUAUUUAUGUGAUGUGUUGUCCAUAUCAAUGAUGAUUGUUAUGUUAAUUCUAAGCACAUGUCCAUGCCAAUUAUGUUUGUUUCUAUUAAGUUCAGCACUUACCCAUGCCUACAGUGCUGCUGUUGGUAGUCUGAUAACUUGCCCAUGCCACAGAUCUUUAUUUAUGUUCAUCUGAGCACUUGGCCAUGCUAUUUUUUUGUUUAUUUUGCUGUCAGCACUUGUCCAUGCCUAUGGUGCUGCUUUUUUUAAUUACUUGGCUAUGCAUGUGCAAACCCCUAAGCCCAUGCUAUUUGUUGAUUUCAUUUACAUAGAUGUCCAUGGAAGACAAUAGACACCUGCUCAUUAUUCAGGUAGCUGCUCUAGUCGCUGCUACAUAUGCAUUCCUGUUCAGUAAGCAUGCCUACUUAAUUGUUUAAACUGAGGUAUUGGGCAAUUGCAAUGAUGAUUACUUGUUUGUUUAAAUUGAAGCAUUGGGCAUUUGCUGUGAUGAUUAAUAAUUGCCCCUGAAGCAUCUCACUUCCUAUCAGCUACUUGUUUUAUAUUCUGUUUUGUUUUCCAAUAUCAUGACUCUGACUUCUAAGUUGGAUUGCACCAUUGGCAUCUCACUUCCUAUCAGCUACUGUCAUUUGCUCACUAUAGCUGACCAUAGCUUAUAGUUAGUAAUCGGCUAUAUAUGCCACUCUAUAUCAGAUACUGUCUGAACUAUUCUAUCUCUAUGGGUAACUCCAUUGUGAGUUAUUGUGUGCAUCAGACACUCUAGU